GACAGUUUUACAGCGAUUCCUUCUUCCAACGGCAGCCCACGAUGUGUUGUAAGACAUCGAGACCUGGAUGUCUACAUGGACCACUUCUCUGAAUUUUGGAUUGUAGCUCUCAUCACAUGGGUAUUCAUCGGAAAACGUGUUAUUUGUACACCGUUCAUUCCAGUGUUAACUCCGAGAAAUGCAAAACACGUGAUGUUCGUCCAUGUAAGGGAUGAAAACAUUGAAGAAAAGGUGCAGUAUGGAUAUAUGGCUCCGAUCACCGGAGAGCAAUUCUUAGUUAAGUGGCGUUCUGGAGGAUUAAGGAUAACUUGCAACGAAAGCACCCCCAUGGAAGACGAGGUCACGACUCUACAGGAAAGUGAGAUUCGCCAUCUGACUGAGCACAAAGUGAUGUACACAGUGGAUACACGAGCCACUGACACGAAUGAAGUGAUAUUACACUUCAUCAUGAAACAAAGCACAACAAAGCAGCUACUGGUUCCC